AAUUAGCGGAUGACUUGUGGCUGGGGGUGAAAGGCCAAUCAAACCGGGAGAUAGCUGGUUCUCCCCGAAAGCUAUUUAGGUAGCGCCUCGUGAAUUCAUCUCCGGGGGUAGAGCACUGUUUCGGCAAGGGGGUCAUCCCGACUUACCAACCCGAUGCAAACUGCGAAUACCGGAGAAUGUUAUCACGGGAGACACACGGCGGGUGCUAACGUCCGUCGUGAAGAGGGAAACAACCCAGACCGCCAGCUAAGGUCCCAAAGUCAUGGUUAAGUGGGAAACGAUGUGGGAAGGCCCAGACAGCCAGGAUGUUGGCUUAGAAGCAGCCAUCAUUUAAAGAAAGCGUAAUAGCUCACUGGUCGAGUCGGCCUGCGCGGAAGAUGUAACGGGGCUAAACCAUGCACCGAAGCUGCGGCAGCGACGCUUAUGCGUUGUUGGGUAGGGGAGCGU
rnacentral:rRNA from 1 species